GACGAACGCUGGCGGCGUGCCUAAUACAUGCAAGUUGAGCGCUGAAGGUUGGUCCUUGUACCAACUGGCUGAGCAGCGAACGGGUGAGUAACGCGUGGGGAAUCUGCCUUUGAGCGGGGGACAACAUUUGGAAACGAAUGCUAAUACCGCAUAAAAACUUUAAACACAAGUUUUAAGUUUGAAAGAUGCAAUUGCAUCACUCAAAGAUGAUCCCGCGUUGUAUUAGCUAGUUGGUGAGGUAAAGGCUCACCAAGGCGAUGAUACAUAGCCGACCUGAGAGGGUGAUCGGCCACAUUGGGACUGAGACACGGCCCAAACUCCUUCGGGAGGCAGCAGGAGGGGAUCUUCGGCAAUGGACGAAAGUCUGACCGAGCAACGCCGCGUGAGUGAAGAAGGGUUUCGGAUCGUAAAACUCUGUUUGUAGGGAAGAACGUUGGUGAGAGUGGAAAGCUCAUCAAGUGACGGUAACUACCCAGAAAGGGACGGCUAACUACGUG
rnacentral:rRNA from 1 species